rnacentral:rRNA from 2 species
ACCGGAUGGUUGUUUGAACCGCAUGGUUCAAACAUAAAAGGUGGCUUCGGCUACCACUUACAGAUGGACCCGCGGCGCAUUAGCUAGUUGGUGAGGUAACGGCUCACCAAGGCAACGAUGCGUAGCCGACCUGAGAGGGUGAUCGGCCAAACUGGGACUGAGACACGGCCCAGACUCAUACGGGAGGCAGCAGUAGGGAAUCUUCCGCAAUGGACGAAAGUCUGACGGAGCAACGCCGCGUGAGUGAUGAAGGUUUUCGGAUCGUAAAGCUCUGUUGUUAGGGAAGAACAAGUACCGUUCGAAUAGGGCGGUACCUUGACGGUACCUAACCAGAAAGCCACGGCUAACUACGUGCCAGCAGCCGCGGUAAUACGUAGGUGGCAAGCGUUGUCCGGAAUUAUUGGGCGUAAAGGGCUCGCAGGCGGUUUCUUAAGUCUGAUGUGAAAGCCCCCGGCUCAACCGGGGAGGGUCAUUGGAAACUGGGGAACUUGAGUGCAGAAGAGGAGAGUGGAAUUCCACGUGUAGCGGUGAAAUGCGUAGAGAUGUGGAGGAACACCAGUGGCGAAGGCGACUCUCUGGUCUGUAACUGACGCUGAGGAGCGAAAGCGUGGGGAGCGAACAGGAUUAGAUACCCUGGUAGUCCACGCCGUAAACGAUGAGUGCUAAGUGUUAGGGGGGUUUCCGCCCCCUUAGUGCUGCAGCUUAACGCAUUAAAGCACUCCGCCUGGG